CCAUAGUCAGCAGCAAUCCAUUUUCUGCCCCGAAUACAUUAGCAUGGGAUAAUGGAAUAGGACCCUGUCCUCCUAUUUUCAGUUGGUUUUGGCAGCGCGAGGACUAGGGUAAUGAUUAAUAGGGAUAGUUGGGGGCAUUAAUAUUUAAUUGUCAGAGGUGAAAUUCUUGGAUUUAUGAAAGAUUAACUUCUGCGAAAGCAUCUGCCAAGGAUGUUUUCAUUAAUCAAGAACGAAAGUUAGGGGAUCGAAGACGAUCAGAUACCGUCGUAGUCUUAACCAUAAACGAUGCCGACCAGCGAUUAGGAGACGUUGAAUACAAAACACCACCAUCGGUUGCGGUCGUCCUUGGCGUCUCGGUUUCGGCCGGGGCGCGGGGACGGUUUAGCCCGGUGGCACCGGUGAAUGACUCCCCUACCACCUUGUGACAAACUAUAUAAGCCCAGCUACACAUAACGCCUCCAUUUAGACCCCCUUCCCUAUCAUCAAAUAAAUUUACAUAUCUCUCUAUAUAUUCUCUCCCAAUAUU
rnacentral:rRNA from 1 species